rnacentral:miRNA from 1 species
UAAGUGCUCAUUGUUGUUGUGU